GUAGCUGCUGCACGUUAUGAGUGUGUUCCUGGCAUGACUGCUUCUAACAAAGAAAUGCUGAGGCAGUGUCACGCUGGUGUCUGUCCUCCUUACAGAAUGCCUGAACAGUUCCAUUGACUCAAAGUGAAGAUCAAAAGAACCAAAUGACAGCAAUAGCCAAGUGUAAUCAUCAGUAACCCUGUGUUCUAUCCACAGGUCUUCAUUUAGCUACUGAAAAGAUUUGAUCUCAAAUCAAUGAUCUAACCACCCAUGACCA
rnacentral:lncRNA from 1 species